UUGAUCCUGGCUCAGGACGAACGCUGGCGGCGUGCUUAACACAUGCAAGUCGAACGGAAAGGCCCUUCGGGGUACUCGAGUGGCGAACGGGUGAGUAACACGUGGGUGAUCUGCCCUGCACUUUGGGAUAAGCCUGGGGAACUGGGUCUAAUACCGAAUAUGACCACGCUCUUCAUGGGGUGUGGUGGAAAGCUUUUGCGGUGUGGGAUGGGCCCGCGGCCUAUCAGCUUGUUGGUGGGGUAAUGGCCUACCAAGGCGACGACGGGUAGCCGGCCUGAGAGGGUGACCGGCCACACUGGGACUGAGAUACGGCCCAGACUCCUACGGGAGGCAGCAGAAGGG
rnacentral:rRNA from 1 species